rnacentral:rRNA from 1 species
AUUGAACGCUGGCGGCAGGCCUAACACAUGCAAGUCGAGCGAGCGGCGGACGGGUGAGUAAUGUAUGGGGACUUUCCGAUAGAGGGGGAUAACUCCUGGAAACGGUAGCUAAUACCGCAUACUAUCCGAUACCCCAUAUGUGCUUAGCUUGUAGGUGAGGUAAUGGCUCAACUAGGCGACGAUCCCUCGCUGGUCUGAGAGGAUGAUCCGCCACACUGGGACUGAGAAACGGCCCAGACGCCUACGGAGGCAGCAGUGGGGAAUAUUGCACAAUGGGCGAAAGCCGGAUGCAGCCAUGCCGCGUGUAUGAAGAAGGCCCUAGGGUGGUAAAGUACUUUCAGUCGGGAGGCGGUACCGACAGAAGAAGCACCGGCUAACUCCGUGCCAGCAGCCGCGGUAAUAC